CUUGGUGGUCAAAAACAAGGUGGCACUUCAGCUUCAAAAGACUAUUAGAAAAAAUAACCAAAGAAUAUUGUGGAACGAAGAAAAAUUGUUUAAAAUUGUCAAAUUGUUGUAAUUUCAUUGAUUAAUUAAAUAAAAUGAUUUAGAAAUUCUGC